rnacentral:rRNA from 1 species
CACGUAGGGCGCAAGCGUUGUCCGGAAUUAUUGGGCGUAAAGAGCUCGUAGGUGGUUUGUUACGUCUGCUGUGAAAUCCUAGGGCUUAACCCUGGGCUUGCAGUGGAUACGGGCAGACUAGAGGUAGGUAGGGGAGAAUGGAAUUCCCGGUGUAGCGGUGAAAUGCGCAGAUAUCGGGAGGAACACCUGUGGCGAAGGCGGCCCCCUGGUUGGAUACUGACGCUGAGACGCGAAAGCGUGGGGAGCAAACAGG